rnacentral:rRNA from 1 species
UACGAAGGGUGCAAACGUUGCUCGGAAUUAUUGGGCGUAAAGGGCGCGUAGGCGGCUUUGUAAGUCAAAGGUGAAAUCCCUCGGCUCAACUGAGGAACUGCCUUUGAAACUGCAAGGCUUGAGGCCGGGAGGGGGUAGCGGAAUUCCCAAUGUAGCGGUGAAAUGCGUAGAUAUUGGGAGGAACACCAGCGGCGAAGGCGGCAAACUGGAUAGGCACUGACACUCAACAACGAAAGCGUGGGGAGCAAACAGG